UACGUAGGGGGCAAGCGUUGUCCGGAUUUAUUGGGCGUAAAGAGCGUGUAGGCGGUUAGGUAGGUCCGUUGUGAAAACUCGAGGCUCAACCUCGAGACGCCGAUGGAAACCAUCUAACUAGAGUCCGGAAGAGGAGAAUGGAAUUCCUGGUGUAGCGGUGAAAUGCGCAGAUAUCAGGAAGAACACCCGUGGCGAAGGCGGUUCUCUGGGACGGUACUGACGCUGAGACGCGAAAGCGUGGGGAGCGAACAGG
rnacentral:rRNA from 1 species